rnacentral:lncRNA from 1 species
GCCUGAAGCCUCGUCCUUCCUGAUGGAACUAAAGGAUCGUACGUUCUUGGCGGUGAGGAGUUCCAUGACACAUACUUUACGCAUUUGUCUCCAGUAUUCACCAUAAGGAGUAAAUGCGAUGUCCGUGCUCUUGUAACAUAUUGUGUCGACGGAUGCUAAUUUAGGCCUCGAUGCAAAAGCAAGGUCAUGAGUUUUCAGUACCUCCCGGGCCAUAUCCGUAGAUGAAACUAUGACCGUAGAAAUUUCCCCUAGUUGUAGGUGCAUGAGAGGCCCAUAUUUUUUGCUCAAGUUUGUGAGUGCAUGAUGAGGAAGUCCACCUUCUAGUACCAAGUGAUGGAUACUUCCUAAGAAAGGCAAUUUCCAUGGUCCUGGAGGAAGUUUUUUGUUCAAGUUUCUUGAUUUUUUCCUUUGCACAAGUAGUAGAUAGAGGAAUGAUAGGAAAAGAAAUAAGAAAAUGAAAUUGAAUGGAAAUUGGAACUCCAUUAGAUAGCUAAAGCUAAGAGAGGAGUGUCUCUCAAGUUGUAUAUGGCUAUAUUUUGGCCUAUCCUAAUGCCAGAGGGAUAUGAUCCAAGUGUUAGGCUAUCUUUUGGCCUAUCCUUGAAGAUAUUUUCCUUAAAAAUAAGUAGUUUUCUUAUAUAGUUUUUUUUUUUAAUAUUUGAAAAGCAGAAAAAAUGUAAAAUCUAAACAAACACUAUGAAAUAAGAUUGGGGCUGGCGGUGGGCAGGAUUAAAAUGUCGAAACUUGUUUUUUAUGCUUUUAUUAGAAAAACUUUUUUUUCAAUUUUAGAGCGAUAGGAUUUUAAUUACUUAAUACUUAGCUUCUAAUAAGAUUCUGACAUAUAUUACACAGUUCAGGGGCGGAUUUACAUUGAACGAAGGGGUUCAUCCGAACCCCCUUCGUCGAAAAAUUACUAGGAUUAAAUUUUGAAUAUAUGUGUAUAUAUACUAUUGAACCCCCUGAACAUACACCAAAGGCGUAGCUCAGUGGCGUUGGGGGUUCAGGAGUUUUGCUCUACUGCACGCGAGGUCGCGUGUUCGAAUCCGGACAGAGGCAUUUUGUUUUAUCAACUUAUUUCAGACGUUUUAUUUUUUUAAAAUAAAUAAUAAUGCAAUCAGAAAACGAUGUUUAGUUCCAAAAAAUUAAAACGCUGAUUGAGAAUUUAGGAUUUAUUAGUUUAAUCCCUAAUCAUAAAGUCAAAUAUUAAAAAAAUCGUUUCUUCUUGAUUCGACCGUUUAAUCCGACCCGUUUAUAUCCGAUUCGACCCGUUUAUUUAUGGAUAUUAUUUACGUGAUUAAUUUUUUUGAACCCCCUUGAUGAAAAUCCUCCCUCCGCCACUGUUACACACAUAUCAUAUUUUCCAGCCACACGUAGAGCCUCCAAGACGAUCCGUAUUGAUUAAUAGAUCUUCGCGUCCUGCCACAUAUUGCAUGACAAAAUAUCUUUGGUUUUAUUUUGAACAAACUACGAGCUAUACAUUACUCAUGUUAUUUCGUCAGCAGCAUCGUAAGUUUGUGUACUGACCUCAGUAAUAUAAUUCUAAUAACAUUUUAUUACACUUUUUAUGAUAUGUGAUUCAUAUUUGAAGGUGCUACUAUUUUUACGAUAAAAUGUUGAUUUUCAAGCAAUUUUUUUCGUCUUUUAUCAGUAAAACAAAAACAACAUGCAAAUAUUGCAACCGUAUUUCCUUUGUUCUUUAGAUAAACAAUAUGUCCAGCUUUACAUAUUAAUUACCCAUUUCCAAAUUAAAAUUAUAUAUCAAUUAAUAUGAAUAUUAUGAUAAAAUACUCUUAUUAAUUACUCUAUUAAUUUAAAAUGCAUACAAAAUUUAAAGACGACAAAUAAAAUGAGUACAAAUAUAAAUGACGGAAGAAAAUAUCUUUGAUUUCAUUUAGAAUUUACUAAGAAAACAUAAUUAGUUUUAUUUAAAAUCUGUUAAAAUAUUAUCUAUUAACAAUAUAUAAGUGAAAACAAGUUAGCUAUUAAUAUAUAUAUUAAUAUAUAAGUAAGAACAAGCCAACAACUAAUGAUCAAACAGACAUAUUGUCCAUCAACGGUGUGUUUAUCCAUACUUAUAUAUUAGUAGUGGAAGUGGAUAGUGGAUAUUUGACUUUUAAUGCAUCAAUAAUGCCAUCUUUUCUGAGAAAAUGAUAUAAAUAAUCUCUUAACUAUAUGAGUAGGUCUAAAAUGGUCCUUUAACUAUAUACUUAACGGAUUUAGUCCUUUAAUUAUAUCGGUUUUAGUUCCUUAACUAUAAACUUAUCGAUUUUAGUCCUUUAAAUAUUUAAAAACUUAUCAGGUUUGGUCUUUGUCCAUUUUUAAAAUACAAAUAGCUUAGGUUUAUAUUAACGGAAAUCUUCGUGAAAUUGUAUCUUUAACCCAUUUUUAAAGUUGUUUCUCUAUCCCCACCAUUUUUCUUCAAACUACUCUUAUGAAAAGAACAAUAACGUCAACGAUUCAAAAUAAAAUUAAUGAGGAAAGAAGAUAUAAGUCCUUAUUUUAUUCAAUGGAGGAUAAAAUUAAACAUAUAAUUGUUGUUAAUGACUUGAAUCCACACUUGAAUAUGCUAAUCAAUGCGGAUUUUAUUUAAUUUCAUCAAAAUAAAAUUAAUGAGGAAAGAAGAUAUAAGUCCUUAUUUUAUUCAAUGGAGGAUAAAAUUAAACAUAUAAUUGUUGUUAAUGACUUGAAUCCACACUUGAAUAUGCUAAUCAAUGCGGAUUUUAUUUAAUUUCACAAAUUUAUUUACGUAAAAUAAAAUGAAUAGAAUAAUAAAAUUGAUCUAUUUAAAAAAAUUGCAAAUCUACCAUGCAUUUUAUAAAUUUCAAUUUCUGAAAAAUUAAACAAAUUUCGUUCAAUAAAAUCGUUGGAGUACAAACUUUGAAUUUUAUGAUUAAUAUUUUUUUUCUUUUUAUAAUAAAGUUAAGCAUAUUCAAGUCAUUAGUAGCAAUAAUAUGCUUCAUUUUAUCCUCUGUUGAAUAAAAUUAUGACUUAUAUUUUCUUUCCUCGUGAAUUUUAUUUUAAAUCAUUGAGGUUAAGGUUCUUCGCAUAAGGUUAAUUUGAAGUAAAAGUAGCGGAGAGAGACAAAUAAUAGAAAAAAUUGCUAAAGGAUUUAAUUUCUCGAGGCAUGAAUUCCGUUAAUAUAAACCUAAGCUAUUUGUAUUAAGAAAAUGGACAAAGACCAAACCUGAUAAGUUUUUGAAUACUUAAAUGACUAAAAUCGGUAUGUUUAUAGUUAAGGGAUUAAAAUCAGUAAGUGUAUAGUUAAGAGACCAAAACUGAUAAGUUUAUAAAUAGUUAAAGAACUAAAUCCGUUAACUGUAUAGUUAAGGGAUCAUUUUAGACCCAUUCUUAUAGUUAAGAAACUAUUUAUGUCAUUUUCUCCAUCUUUUCUUAUAGAGAAAAUACAUCAAAUCACAUUUAAACUUAACAACAAAAGUUACUUUGACACUUUAAUUAUACUGAUGUUUAUUUAUCCCUUAACAAAUUUUAAAUGAAUUAAAUACGGCCUUAGGGGGUGACGUGAUAGAGAGAGUGAACCUACUCUCCUAAAAGCGUGUGAAGAAAGAAAAAAGAAAAGCUGAAAUUACAAGAUUAUGUGUCAUUUUUUUUAUCGGCCAACAUAUAAAUAAUAUUUUUAAUCUUUUUUUCUUAAUAUAUUAACUUUUUUAAAAUAUGUGAAUUUUCUUAUAGAGAUAAUGGAAUUUAUGAAUCCCAUUUAAAAUAAAGUUUUAACUUUAUUCUCUUUAAUUGUUAUUGACAUCGAUUUUAUGAAAUUCAGUACUAACAUCAUUGUUACAGCCAUUAAUUCCACAACAUCCACUACCAAUAGCAAUAAUAAUGGAGAAGAAUGGAGCGAUGAGGAAUACACAUUCCUAAAUAAUCGAUUUUACAAUAUCUACAUCGAUUCACAAUCAAUACCCAUUAAGAACACACAUUCAUAGAUCCAUAUUUUUAAUUAAUGUUCUUGCAGCUUCAAUCUCACCAAUAAAAUUAGUGAAUGAAGAUCGUAUAAGAAAGUUGAAAGAUCCAUAUUUUUUGCAUCACUAAUAAUAGAAGCUCAAAAUAUGGGUUACUUAAAAUUCAAGAAAAAUUACAUUUAUAAAAUAUAAGCAUCAAGAUUUUACUUAUGAUUUUUGGUAGAAAUCUUGUUGAUAAAAUGUAUGAAGCUUGAGACUAUAGCUAAAGAAACUGUUGUUGAAAGAAAUUAGAUUCAAUUUUCGGUUGGCAUUGUUGAAAUGAUUUAUCUUCAAUUUUUGAUUGCCAUUACUGAGGAUUUACCUCCAAUUUGGUACUGAUGAUAAAGCUCUUUGUUAAAUAAAUGAGCCAACAUAAGUUUUGAAAUUAAUUAGUUUAGUGUAUAUAAGUUAAAAAAAGAUAUAUUUAAAGAAAACGAAAAAAUGGUGAAUAAACAGUAAGAAAUAAAAAAUUAAUGAUGUGAUGCUUAGAUGGCUAUGACGUCAUGCUUAUAUUGCUAUGACAUGGCGGGUGAGAGUAGUAUUUUAAUCUGAGGGUGGUAUUUAAUUCAUUUGAAAGUUAAGAGGGUAAAUAAAUGUCCGUAUAAUCAAAGUGCUAAAGUAAACAAUUCAUUCUAUGCAACGAGUAUCUUUGGGAUGACUUAGCCUAAUAUAACACAUUCAGACCAAUGAACAGUCCUUGUUAUUUUGUGAAUGCUUGAGCUUGUACCAUGCAAACUUAGCCAUGCAUUUCCUGAAACUAGAGUACUAGACAUAAACUGAUCAAUGAAUUUCUCUUGAUCUUUCAACAAUUCCCCAAAUGCUGCUUUGCAUGUAUUUGAGCUCUGGUACCAUGAAACCCGUUUUGUAACAUUUAUCGGCUCGCUACGUGUUGAUGACCGGAUGAACUGCACGAGGCGUGAAGCCUCGUCCCGCCUGAUGGAACUAAAGUACCGUACGUUCUUGGAAGUGAAAAGUUCUAAUACGCAUACUUUGCGCAUCUGUCUCCAGUAUUCACCAUAAGGAGUAAAUGCGAUGUCCAUGCUCUUGUAACAUAUUAUGUCGAUGGAUGCUAAUUUAGGCCUUGAUGCAAAAGCAAGGUCGUGAGUUUUCAGUACCUCUCGCGCCAUGUCCAUAGAAGAAACUACGACCGUAGAAAUUUCGCCUAGUUGAAGGUGCAUGACAGGCCCAUAUUUUUUUCCCAAUUUUGUGAGUACAUGAUGAGGAAGUCCACCUUCUAAUGCCAAGUGAUGGAUACUUCCUAAAAAGGGCAAUUUCCAUGGGCCUGGAGGAAGAUUUUUGUUUAAGUUUCUUGAUUUUUUCCAUUCGACCAGUAGUAGAUAGAGGAAUGAAAGGAAAAGGAAUAAGAAAAUGAAAUUGAAUGGAUAUUGGAACUCCAUUAGAUAGCUAAAGCUAAGAGAAGGGUGUCUCUCAAUUCUCAAGUUCAAAGCUUUGUUGUAUAGGGCUAUUUUUGGCCUGCUAUAUAAUCCUAAUAUCUUGAGAGAAAUGAUCCAAGAGUAAGGGUGUGUUUGGUAUGAAUUUUCCUAAAAAAUAAAUAGUUUUCUUACUUAUUUUCUCGUAUGUGAUAGGUAAACAGAAAAUAUUGUAAAAGCUAGGCAAACACUAUUAUUAUUAUCACAAUUCAACUUGUAAACGAGUCUGAAGUCAAGGUACGGGUCAUGCUUAUGUAUUAUGCCUAUAUUAUACGCAUAACAAUAUUUUUCGGCCGUAUGUAGAGCCUCUAAGACAAAGAGGAGACUAUCAAUUAUCCUUUCAAAAUUCAUAUUGAUUAAUAGAUCUUCGCAUCUUGCCACAUAUUGCAUGACGAAAACUAUUUCCUGAUGCAGUGAUAGCUGCUACAAAAGUACAAAAUUUGGUUUUAUUUGAAACAAACAGAGGAAAAUUCCAAACUCUGAGCUAUACAUGUUAAUUUGUCAGCAGUGCCAUCCGAUAUAUUCAAACUUGUGUCUAAUGUCAUAAAUUAUAGGUAAAUUUUGAUGAAAAUAUAUAUAAGAUAUUUAAAUUGUUCAUAAAAACUAAUAUAUUAUGUAUAUAAUGUGUCGGUUGAUUCGAUUAUUUUGAAUCAAACAAAAUAUUAUCAAUUUAAAAAAAUGUAAAACCAGAUCAAACCAAAUCCAAAUAAAAAAAAUCGAUUGGUUCAAUUUGAAUCAGUUGAAAGAAAUUAUUGUGGAAGCUUGCACAAAGGUUUGAAUAUCAGUGUUCAACAUUGUUAUGGUGAGGCCAAUCAAGUCGCGGAUGCUUUGGCCAAAUGAAGCAUCAAGAACCAAGAUCACAAUUUCUUCUCGAGGGGCUCGUGCAGAAUGAACCAAUUACAAUUGCCAUCGCUAAGAUUCAAAUGCAUAAAGCAUUCGAGUAUUCACUAUUUUCACUCCAAAUUACUCACAAGAUUGUAAUCCAGUUGAUGCAACCAAGGCACUACUCUAAGAAGGGAAGCCCCACAGAGCAGAGUAGUGGAGAGACUAGAACUCUGUUCGAGUAGAGUCGAGGGUGGGAUUGAAAGACUCAUCAACUUGUCGUCUCAGUUUUUUGUGCCACAAAAGGUAUCUUAUGUCUGUGUACCUGAGUCUACAUCAACUAAAAGAUGCAGUGCCCUUGACCAAGGGAUGUAAGUACAUAUGGAAUAGUACCAUAUGUAAAAUGACAGAAUGAAACAUGAACGUACAUAUAUUUUUUUUAAAAAAAAACAGGAUGACCAACAGAAUCAGACACACAACAUGGAAGGAUCGUGAUAAUCAAGUGUCACCAACAUGUUCUGACAUUUAGUUUCUUAGUCAUGCGUUAGUUCGUUAUGGAAAUUCAUUAGUGUAACUGAACAUGAGGUAGCAGAGUGAGUCCCUUUUGCUAUAUAUGGUUCAGUUAACAAAAACAAGGGCUUACUGCUAUAAAAAAUCACUAAGAAAUGUCACUGCUAGAAACAAAGGUUUUCUCACCGCGAUCAAUAAAAAAAUUGUGUUAUAAAACAUGAUUUUCUCAUUCAUUUUCCACCAAACCAGCUCACUGGAAAACACAUGGUAGGAAACAAAUUCUGCUGAAAUAGUGGAAGCUUUCUAAUUUUGGAUGGAGAAGCUAUUAUUGUUAAUAAACAAAACUUCAAAGUACAUGAACUGAUCAUUGAACAACACAUGAAUAUAUUACAUACAAGCUUGAAACAAGCUGACACAAAUAUCAUUAAAUACAUAAUUCACAAACAAAAAAAGAAGAACAGAGAGGAUAAAAUAUCAUUCAUGAGAAGGAUAAUAAGGAGUGGCAAUCAAGUAGAGCUCGCUCUUUCUUGCUGCAGUUAUUCCGGAAAAUUCAGUCAUGUCCACAUCCUUAGGCUUCAAACCAUCAGGUAAUUUCCAAUCAAAAUGAUACAACAAUUUAGCUAGUGGAAGAUAAAUAUUGAUCAAACCAAAUGUAAUCCCAGGACACAUUCUCCUUCCGGCACCAAAAGGAAGAUACUCAAAGUUAUUCCCCAUGAAAUCCACAGAGGUCUGCUCGAAUCUCUCAGGGAUAAAGCUUUCUGCAUCUUCCCAAUACUUCGGGUCCCUCCCCAUUGCAUAAACGUUAACCAUCACUCUUGUUUUUAAUGGGAUAGUGUAACCGUUGAUGUUUGUUUCUUCCCUGCAUUCUCUGGGGACUAAGAGAGGAACUGGAGGAUGAAGUCUUAAGGUUUCUUUAACAACUUGUUUUAGAUAUUUCAAUUCCUCAAUAACAUCUUCAUCGAACGUUUCUUUUCCUUUGAAGGCUUGUCUUACCUCAGCUUGUGCCUUCGCUAAUACACUUGGUUUCCUCAUCAUUUCUGACAUAGCCCAUAUCGUUGUUGUUCCUGAAGUUUCUGCUCCCGCAGAGAACAAGUCCUACAUUUUAUUAUUAAUAAAAGAAGAAUUUACAUGAAUAGCUGGUGAAUGUAUAAUAUGUGUGUAUAAAUUUGAAGGAUUUUCCCUAUAAAAGUAAGAAUACUUACUAUUAUAAUUGCUUUGAUGUUGUCAUUGGUGAUAGGAAUUUUAAGUUCUCCACUCUCCUUUAAUCUUAGUAGAACAUCAACUAAAUCUUCACCUCCAAAUGCACCAUUUCCCUUUUUACCACUUGCAAUAUUCUUUUUAUGCUCAUUGAUAACAUCCUCAACAAUAACAUCAGCAUUUUUAUGAACUUUCAAGAUUUUACUCUUCAAUCCACUUAACACUUGAAGGAUCUUGAUUGAAGGGAAAAUGUCAGCCAAACUAAAUCCACCUGCCACUUCCAUCAAUUCUCUCACUAUUCCAAGGAAUUUCUCUUGAUCUUUCAACAAUUCCCCAAAUGCUGUUUUGCAGGUAAUUGAGCUCUGGUACCAUAAAAUCCGCUCCGUAACAUUUAUUGGCUCGUCACGUGUUGAUGACCGGAUGAAUUGUACAAGGCGUGAAGCCUCGUCCCAUCUGAUGGAACUAAAGGAUCGUACGUUCUUGGUAGUGAGAAGUUCCAAGACACAUACUUUGCGCAUCUGUCUCCAGUAAUCUCCAUAAGGACUAAACGCGAUGUCCGUGCUCUUGUAACAUAUUAUGUCGAGGGCUAAUAAUUUAGGCCUUGAUGCAAAAGCGAGGUCAUGAGUUUUCAGUACCUCUCGCGCCAUAUCCAUAGAAGAAACUAUGAUGGUAGAAAUUUCGCCUAGUUGAAGGUGCAUGAAAGGUCCAUGUUUUUGCCCAAGUUUGUGAGUGCAUGAUGAGGAAGUCCACCUUCUAAUGCCAAGUGAUGGACACUUCCUAUAAAGGGCAAUUUCCAUGGGCCUGGAGGAAGCUUUUUGUUUAAGUUUCUUGAUUUUUUCCAAUCCACAAGUAGUAUAUAGAGGAAUGAUAGGAAAAGGAAUAAGAAAAUGAAAUUGAAUGGAAAUUGAAACUCCAUUAGAUAGAUAGCUAAAGCUAAGAGAGGGGUGUAUAGGCUUUAAUUCUUCUGGCCUAAUAUAUAAUCCUAAUGUCAGAGAGAAAAUGAAUUGAGAGUAAGGAUGUGUUUGUCCCCGAAAUUAAGUGUCUUUUUUGCUUAUUUUCGGUAUUUGGUAAUACACAGAAAAAAAGUGUUUUGAAACUUUUUUGAUCAACCAAACAUGAUUGUUUUUGGAAAAGACUCCACACAAAACACACACUAAAUAUAAUACUAAUCUUAUACCUGCAAGUCAUUAUCUCGUAUAAUGUAGUACUAAGUAUAAAGUAUAUAAACUAAAUGAAAGUUGAAUUCGAGAUAGAGAGAGACCAUGUAUAAACUUAUAAUAUUUGCUUAUCAAUGUUUGGUGAAAGCAAUAAACGUGUUUUUAAUUGUAUUGUAUUCAAUUAUCUCCUAAUUGAUAUCAAUACAAUAACAAAAACAUCUUUAAUUAAUUUAAUGUCAAACACAUGAUGUAUUAACAACUAUUAAAUUAGAGCCGGCAAUGAUGUGGAAAAUCUUAUGCGAAUCAAUAUUGAUUAAUGAGUAUCGACCUAUCGUCACAAUUCGUUUCGUAAUUAAAUGAGUUGAUCUAGAGCGGAAGGUUAAUAUUUGGGUUUAUUUAUGCUCUCGCUAUGAUACAUUUGAUUUAUUAGUGCCAUCAACAAAGAACUAGAUUUUGUCACAUGACAUUAUUUAAAUUCUUCAUUAUUUAUCAGCUCCCACCUCUCUCAUCUCCUUUUGUGAGUUAUAUAUAUAUAUAUAUAUAUAUGAUCCAUUUUAUUAAGUUCAGUAUAUAUUUAAGUCUUUUCUCAUUACUUCUCCAAAGGGCUAAGGGGAACACACAAAAAGGCUCAGUUAUUUCAAUUAUUGUAUGGAGAGCAUUAUUUUGGAUGGUGAAACUAUUGCUCCUUUGUCCGUAUUUACUUGUCCAAUUUUGAAUUGAAAUAUCUAUUAAAAAAAUAAUACUAACAUAAUGAGUUUAUCAUUUUACUCAUAUUCAUUAAUUGAUAGAAGUUCAAAAUCAAUUUACUCAUUAAAGAGGUUAUACCUUUUUCAAAAACAUUAACUCUCUAAAUAAAUUGAGGGUAUAAUAGGUAUAAAAAUAAUAAUAUUUUUUUAAUUUGUCAAAAAUGACAAGUAAAAAUAUCAAAAUUGAACAAGUAAAACCGGCAGAUGGAGUAUUAUUAAUACACAAAAUUCAAAGUACAUACAAUAGAUGAAUAUACUAAACAAGUAUAGGCAAACUGUCAAGCUGACAUAUACAUACAAGCUUGAAACAAGAUGAUAUAUAAUAAAGUUGGAUUACCAUUUUAUUUGUUUACCAAAUUAAAUAUUUAUUUAAUUAAUUAUUACUAAAUAGUAAUAUCUUAAUAUUUUUUGAAUCAAUUUAAAUUGUGAGGUACAAUGAAUCGUCUAAUUUACUAGUUCAAUCCAGGGAAAUGAAAGGGUUUUUGAUAUUAAGUGAUAAUACAAACAAAAGUUGAAAGCAUCCCAAGUCUCAUUUCGAGAUAACAUUUAAUAUUUGUGUUAAAUUUGCUUUUAUCAUUGAAAUUUAAAACUUUCACGGUUAGCUUAUUUUUUCAAUAAUAAAGACCAUUGAGUUCUUGUAAUUAUUGGGAGAUCAAUAUUCCAUAAAUAGUACUCUUACAAUUAAUUCUUUGUGAAACUAUUUUUUUUUAUGACAAUCCCAAGAAGUUUUUCUAAGGGAUGAAUUAGUAAAAUUAUCUUUUUAUUUAUGAUUUCUUAAUAUAUGUAUAAAAAGUAAAAUGAUUCACUAAUAUGAAAUGGAGGAAUAACUAAUGACUUUUCACCUUAUAACUAUUGGUUUUCUUUGUUUACAUAUUUCUCCAUCCGCAGAAAUGAUCCAAGUGAACCGUUAAGAAAUUCAUUAAUCACUGUUAAAUUGAUAAUGAAUUAUAUUAUCUCAUUCAUUAUAUUCUUCUCAAUAAUCAGCUUUUAUAAAUCAAACAAUAUGUAUAACUCCACCAUUGAAAGAUAUAGUAGAGGAAAACUCCAAAUUUAUGAGGUAAAUGUUUAUGUUUAUUUUACUCUGUUACUUCAUAUAAGUAUUCAUGUUUGCUUCUAUUAUAUUUUUUAGCUCUAAAUUAGAGUUAAUCAUACAUUAUUUUUAGUAAUAUAAAUAUAUUAUAUGUUUACAUCUAUUAUCACAUCAAAAUGCAAACUUGCAGUUUCAUAUGAUAUAUAUAAUGUAUUUAUCGUCCAACAAAGAAAUAAUUCAAUAGAAUGAAGUCUCAAGGAUUCUUUAACAACUUGUUUUAGGUAUUUCAAGUCCUCAAUAAUAUCUUCAUUGAAAGUUUCUUUUCCUUUGAAUGCUUCUCUUACCUCAACUUGUGCCUUUGCUAGCACACUUGGUUUUCUCAUCAUUUCUGUCAUGGUCCAUAUUGUUGUUGUUAUUGAAGUUUCUGUUCCCGCAGCGAACAAGUCCUAUAUUUCAUUAUUAAUUAAAGAACUAAUAAAUUCACUUAUUUUCCUAAAUAAUACUGAACACACCCUUAGAGAUUUUUUUUAAGGGAAAAGGCUUAAAUAUGUCAUUGAACUUUGAGAAAAAACUCAUCUAUGACAUCCGUUAGAAGUUUGACUCAUCUAUGUCAUUUCUGUUAGAGAAAAAUCUCAUCCAUGACUUUAUUUAUUAACUGAAAACAGUUUUGGUUUUGCAAAACCAUUUUUUUUACAUGUGGUCAAUCAUGAUUCGGUCACUUCAUUAAUUAAAUCAUUUUAAAAAGGGAUUAGGUUCAAAUAUGCCAUCAAUCUUACAGAAAGGCUCAUCUAUGUGUUUGAGUCAUAUAUGCUAUUUCAGUUAACAAAUUAAAUAAUGACUUGGAUGAGUCUUUUUUCAAAAGGAAAUGACAAAGAUGAGUCAAACUUUUAAUGAAUUGCAUAGAUGAGUCUUUUUUCUCAAAAUUCGAUGGUAUAUUUGAGUCUCUAAUUAUAAGAGAAAGAAUACUUACAAUCAUAAUUGCUUUAAUGUUGUCAUUGGUGAUUGGGGUUUUAAGUUCUCCACUCUCCCUUAAUCUUAGUAGAACAUCAACUAAUUAAUCUUCACCUCCAAAUGCACCAUUUCCUUUUUUACCACUUGCAAUAUUCAUUUUGUGCUCAUUGAUUACAUCCUCAACUAUAACAUCAACAUUCUUGUGAACUUUCAAGAUUCUACUCUUCAAUCCACUUAGCACAUGAAUGAUCUUGAUUGAAGGGAAAAUGUCAGCCAUACUAAAUCCACCAGCCAAUUUCACCAAUUCCUUCACUAAUCCAAUGAAUUUCUCUUGAUCUUUCAACAAUUCCCCAAAUGCUGCUUUGCAUGUAAUUGAGCUCUGGUACCAUGAAAUAUGUUCGGUAAUAUUUAUUGGCACGCCACGUGUUGAUGACCGGAUGAAUUGCAUGAGGCUCGAAGCCUCGUCUCGCCUGAUGGAACUAAAGGACCGUACGUUCUUGGCAGUGAAAAGUUCCAAGACACAUAUUUUACGUAUCUGUCUCCAGUAAUCUCCAUAAGGACUAAACGCGAUAUCUGUGCUCUUGUAAAAUAUUAUGUCGAUGGAUACUAAUUUAGGCCUUGAUGCAAAAGCAAGGUCAUGAGUUUUCAGUACCUCUCGCGCCAUAACCACAGAAUAAACUACGACCAUAGAAAUUUCGCCUAGUUGAAGGUGCAUGAAAGGCCCAUAUUUUUUGCCCAAUUUUGUGAGUGCAUGAUGAGGAAGUCCACCUUCUAAUGCCAAGUGAUGGAUACUUCCUAAAAAAAGGCAAUUUCCAUGGUCCUGGAAGAAGUUUCUUGUUAAAGUUUCUUGAUUUUUUCCAUUCCACAAAUUGUAAAUAGAGGAAUGAUAGGAAAAGGAAUAAGAAAAUGAAGUUGAAUGGAAAUUGGAACUCCAUUAGAGCAAAGGCUAAGAGAGGGGUGUCUCAAUUCUCAAGUUCAAAGCUUUAUUUGUAUAGGCUUUCUUUUGACCUACUAUAUAAGAGCUUCUUGUAUAACUGUACAGGUGAACAAAAAAAAAUCAACAAAAUCGGCGCAUGUAUAUCUAAUGUAUCCAUAUUGUAAAUAAUCUAUAUGAUGUAUAACAAUAUAUCAUAGAUGUAUAUACAUCCAUAUAUGUUGUUUAUACAAUAUUCAUAUAUAACUGAUAGAACUAGUUCAUUUUCCUUAACGAGCUGAUUUUUAGUCGGUUAAUUUUUCCCUAUAUAUAAAAUCAUCUAGCAAUAUGCAGUUUGUAGACGUCCCUAGCUCAUUAAAUUUUUGGAAUUUUGUAUUUUGAAAAAGGUGAGUUUUUGGCCAACUUUGAGCAAUCAUAACUUCUAGCUCAAGAUGAGUUAGGUGUAGUUCCAGUUAUGGUUGCGUAAGCUUUGUGGAAUGAUCUUUCCAACGCCACCUAGUUUUCUCGAUUCCGAGUUCGUAUGAGUGAGUUAUGCCCUUUGUAAGUUGGGCAGUUGGCAGGGAAAUCCGUCCGGAAAUUGUAAGGGUAUUUUGGUCUUUUCCCCUAGCCAAUUGUUUUGGUUAUAUUGUUGUGUUAGACUGAUUUUNNNNNNNNNNNNNNNNNNNNNNNNNNNNNNNNNNNNNNNNNNNNNNNNNNNNNNNNNNNNNNNNNNNNNNNNNNNNNNNNNNNNNNNNNNNNNNNNNNNNNNNNNNNNNNNNNNNNNNNNNNNNNNNNNAGGAGAAGAAGAAGCAAGGUUCGUAGAGAUCGUCGUGGAUUUCGUCGGGGGUGAUCCCUAUUAAGGUAUGUGAGUUCAUAGUGUUGGGUUGGUUCUUUCCCCCACUCGCCAAGCUCGUUUUAUUUAUGAGAAAAGAUUGGUUGUGUUGUUGAAGUUGUUGAAGUCCCUUGUUGUCUUGGGCAUGUUUCCGGUUGUGUUUUGAAGUAGGAAUCUCUUGUAUGUUGAGGUAUUUUAUGAUUCUUAGUGGUUGGGGUUGAAACCAUUGAAGUUUAGAAGGUUUAGAAUUGGAGAAAAAAGGGAGAAAGGUCGAGUUUUCUGGGGAAGAGGGUGGCGCGUCACGCUUGCCAGCGCGCCCAAAAAGGGGUUCUGAAGGUUCCCCCUUGGGGCGGCGCGCCUAGCAGAACGCCAGCAGGCCCCCUCUGAAAUUCGAGGGCUGGCGCUCCGCGCCUUGCAGAGCGCCAAGGACGCCAAAACUUCUCUUUUAUUCCCCACCUUCUCAUGCAUGUUCCUUGGUAUUGUACCUAUGUUUCCUAGUUGUUUCCAACACUCCAAGGUACUUCUAAAAGUCAAGAACUCAUCCGUAACAUGAGAUCAAGCACCUUGAAUCUAUAAAUCCAAUUCAAGGAGAGUUAGUUUCCAAGUCAAGUGAAGUUAAGAGUUAAUCUUGGAAGUUAAGAAGCAAGUCAAACAAGUUUUUAAAGUUGUUUAAGAAUCUUUAUUGAACGUUUUAACUUCAUUUUAAGACUCAAGUUUCAAGUCAAGAAAAGGGUAUAGAGUUUCAAGUCAAGUAAAGGGUAUAGAGUUUCAAGCUAAGUAAAGAGUCUCAAGUUUCAAGUAAAGUCAAGAGUUUAAAGUGAGUUCUUUUCUCAAAAGUUAUUAGGGAACUAUGUAUUCCCAAAGAAGUUUUAAAGAAAUGUUUUUACNNNNNNNNNNNNNNNNNNNNNNNNNNNNNNNNNNNNNNNNNNNNNNNNNNNNNNNNNNNNNNNNNNNNNNNNNNNNNNNNNNNNNNNNNNNNNNNNNNNNNNNNNNNNNNNNNNNNNNNNNNNNNNNNNNNNNNNNNNNNNNNNNNNNNNNNNNNNNNNNNNNNNNNNNNNNNNNNNNNNNNNNNNNNNNNNNNNNNNNNNNNNNNNNNNNNNNNNNNNNNNNNNNNNNNNNNNNNNNNNNNNNNNNNNNNNNNNNNNNNNNNNNNNNNNNNNNNNNNNNNNNNNNNNNNNNNNNNNNNNNNNNNNNNNNNNNNNNNNNNUUCUGCUUAGUAUGGAUGGGGUAUGGGACUUCAUUCAUACAUUGCACGAGUAGACCUUGAGAGGAAGCAUGGUAUUUUAUGAUAUUAUAAAUAUGAUUUUGAAUGUCAUGUUUUAAUAGUUUUACAAGCUUUAUAUAUUGCAUGUGUCUUAUUGCUAUAUAUAUUGAGUUAAAUUAUUCAUGAGUUGAACAGAACCAAGGUAAGUGUUCUCCUAUACUCCUUUCAAGCUUAAGUUGUGGUUUAGCUUUCCAGCUCGCAUACUCGUACAUUCCAUGUACUGAUGCCAGUUGGCCUGCAUCUUAUGACGAUGCAGACACAGGUACCCAGGAUCAACAUCCAAUACGCCGUUGAUCCAGUUGAGCACUCCAGGGUCAGGGGUGAGCCUCCUUGUUUCCGGAGGACUAUGUUAUUUUGUGUUCUUAGUUUUGUUUUGUUAGGAUGUUGCGGGGUCUGUCCCAACAUCCAUCUAAGUAUUUAGAGGCUUCAUAGACAGUCAGUCAGUAAGAAUUGAGUCUCUCAGCUAUGUAUAUAUGUAAAUAUUCUAUUUUGAGACUCGAGUUGCCCUUUUGGGCCAGANNNNNNNNNNNNNNNNNNNNNNNNNNNNNNNNNNNNNNNNNNNNNNNNNNNNNNNNNNNNNNNNNNNNNNNNNNNNNNNNNNNNNNNNNNNNNNNNNNNNNNNNNNNNNNNNNNNNNNNNNNNNNNNNNNNNNNNNNNNNNNNNNNNNNNNNNNNNNNNNNNNNNNNNNNNNNNNNNNNNNNNNNNNNNNNNNNNNNNNNNNNNNNNNNNNNNNNNNNNNNNNNNNNNNNNNNNNNNNNNNNNNNNNNNNNNNNNNNNNNNNNNNNNNNNNNNNNNNNNNNNNNNNNNNNNNNNNNNNNNNNNNNNNNNNNNNNNNNNNNNNNNNNNNNNNNNNNNNNNNNNNNNNNNNNNNNNNNNNNNNNNNNNNNNNNNNNNNNNNNNNNNNNNNNNNNNNNNNNNNNNNNNNNNNNNNNNNNNNNNNNNNNNNNNNNNNNNNNNNNNNNNNNNNNNNNNNNNNNNNNNNNNNNNNNNNNNNNNNNNNNNNNNNNNNNNNNNNNNNNNNNUUAAGAAUUGCUAAAGUUGCAAGUUAUUCUCCCAAGUCAAGAACUAGAAUAAAAGUAAUAAUCUCCAACCCCCAAAACGAGGUUACAUGCCCUAUUUAUAGAAAACAAGUCCUAAAUUAAAAAGGGAAACAAAAUAAGGAAAGUUUGUUCUGGCUCACGUCUUCAUUCCACGAGACUGACUCACGGACCAUCACUGGAUCUACGGUCCGUGAGUCCCUUUCGUCAGCCAGGACUUAGAAAAUAUUUCAGCUUCCAAAAAUUAGCUUCUCUGAAGCAAACGACAGAGCUGCAGUACGGACCGUAGAUCGAUCUACAGUCCGUCAAUCCCUCUCCAUAGCUCCAUACUUAGAAUCUUCAAAAAUCAAGUACUGGAACCCUCAUAGUAUCAAUCUACGGAUCAUAAGUACGGUCCGUAGAUUAAUCUACGGACCGUCAAUGGCCACCGUGGUUCCACACUUGGUCAGAUUUCCUUGAUUUUGCCUUCCAUGCCUUGCCUGCUGAUCUACGACCACCAUCUACGGAGCGUCAAUGGACCUACGAUCCGUAGAUCACCUCUGUAGAUGCCCUUUUUCUGCAUUUCUUUCAACUGUCUCUUUACUUCCGCGCCUUAACAUCUUUCUGCAAAAUAAUGAUAAAAACACAUAAAAACCACUACAACAAGGCCCUAGACACACACAACUUGUAAAUGAAAUGUAUUAGAAAUACCGUAAACUCACGGUAUAUCAUAUAGCAGGAGCAACAAUUGAUUUUUAUACCAAACAAUUCACAAUGCUAGAGGCCAGUGGAGAUUAUGAAAUGCUGAAUGAACUACCACAAGUAAUGAGUGGAAAUAGAAUGAGGAAAUGCAGAGAGUGCCAACGAUAGAAGAGGUCAAAAAAUGGUUAUGGGGCUAAAUCAAAAUAGUGCAGGAGGACCAGAUGAGAUGACAGGGGCCUUCUAUCAAAGUACUUGGGAAAUCAUUGGGAAAGACAUUCUUAAAAUGACUAUAGCUUUUUUUUGUGGAGCUGAACUACCUAGGUACAUCACACACACAAAUCUAGUCCUAAUUCCAAAGAAGAUGAUGGUCAGUACAUUUUCAGAUUUGAGGUUUAUUUCUCUGAGUAAUUUUGUGAACAAAAUUUUUCACGAAUUAUCCAUGAGAGAAUUAAAGAAGUACUCCCUCAAAUCAUCUCUCCGGAACAAGAAAGAUUUGUACAAGGGAGAAGUAUAGUAGAGAAUGUAUUACUGGUCCAAGAAAUAAUUUCAAAAAUAAGAAAAAAGGGAACACCACCUAAUUUAGUCAUUAAGUUGGAUAUGAUGAAAGCUUAUGACAGAGUUGAGUGGCUUUUUCUAACAAAGGUGAUGAGAAGAUUGGGAUUUGGGGAUAUAAUAAUUGAUAUGGUGUUUAGACUGAUUAGCAACAACUAGUACUCAGUUUUGCUAAAUGGACAACAGAAAGGUUUUUUCAAAUCCUCAAGAGGUCUCAAACAGGGUGACCCUCUAUCACCCACUCUCUUUAUAUUGGCAACAAAAGUGAUGUCUAGAUCCCUAAAUGCCCUAAUGAUAAAGAAAGAGUUUAAAAGAUUUGGUAUGCCAAGAGGAAGCUUGAAGCUAAAUCAUUUAGCGUUUGCGUAUGAUAUGAUCAUAUUAUGUAAAGCGGAGGUAGGCACAAUGAAAAUGGUUAGCGAAACAUUGCAGAAGUAUGAAGAGGUAUCUGGACAAAAAGUGAAUUAAGACAAAAGUGCAAUUUACUUGCACCAUAGUGUCAACAGAGGAGAAUCAGUGGUAGCAGAAGUAGCAACAGGAAUCCUAAGGAAAGAAUUUCCUUUUACGUAUUUGGGGUGCCCUAUCUUUUACAAGAGAACGCAAAAAACGUACUAUAAACAGUUAAUUCAAAGGAUAUGAGCUAAAAUACAAGGAUGGAAAGGUAAGUUAUUAUCUUAUGGGGGACGGGCAGUUCUAAUUAAACAUGUACUACAGAGUACUCCUAUACAUUGUUUAUCAGUCAUGAAUCCUCCCAGCAAUGUCUUAACUGAUGUGCAAAAAACGAUGGCCCAAUUCUUUUGGAGUAGUUGCGUAGGAGGAAGAGGCAGACCUUGGAGUAAAUGGGGAAACCUAUGUCUACCAGAGCUGGAAGAAGGGAUAGGUUUUAGACUAAUGCAUGAUAUUUCAAUGGCUUUGUUUUGUAAGCUUUGGUGGAAUUAUAGAACAAAUAAGUCUUUAUGGAGUGAAUACAUGAGAAACAAAUAUUGCAAGUCAACGAAUCAGAAUCUGGUCAUGUGGGAAGUAGGAGGAGGAGCUUCACAAGUAUGGAAGAAAAUGCUACAAGCAAGAGAUCUAAUCGAGCAUCAAGUACUCUGGAAAACUAAGAAUGGAUCAGCUUCACUAUGGCACGAUAAUUGGACAGGACUGGGGGACCUGUAUACAAUUACGAGGGAAAACUUUGCAUGGGAUGAAAGGUAUGAAGUAGUUAGGGAUCUAACAAAAAAUGGGGAAUGAGAUAUGGAUUUAUUGAAUGAAACACUGCUAGCAGAAUAUGUUGAACACAUCAUAAGCCAAAUCAAGCCCCGUAAAGGUAACACAUAUGACAAACCUUGCUGCAUGUUAGAUACGAGGGGUAGUUUCUCAGUCAAAACAACAUGGAACUAUAUAAGGCACAAAGAGGAACCAAAUAUAAUACAUAGGUGGAUUUGGAAUAAGGGGACUCCUUUUAAAGUAGCCGUUAUGAUAUAGAGGUUGUGGAAGUUCAAAAUCCCUGUGGAUGAUAGAGUGAGAAGGUGGGGCCUUGAAGGACCUUCAAGAUGCUGGUGUUGUGACAAACCUGAUCAAGAAACACUGUCACAUGUGUUUCGAAAAUCAGAAAUUGCUAACAGGACUUGGUCCUACUUUUGUUCUUUUGUAGGUCUAAACAUUACAGGAUUGCAAUUAAGGGAAGUUAUAAUAUUAUGGUGGGGUGCGAACAUUAAGACAUAUAUGAGACCUUAUUAUAGAGCUAUUCCAGGAUUUAUAAUUUGGGAACUGUGGAAAAGAAGGAACAAACAGAAGCAUGAAGGAAAUAGCACUUCACUGCCCAAAAUAAUUCACAAUGUGACCAGACACAUGAAUAUGUUUGCUAAAGUGAAAAGGCCUACCAUGAGAGGAGGAAGCUGGCCAGAAAUACUUAAGGAAAUAGAGGAAUAUAGGCCUAAAAUUAAGGUCGUUCAGGUUAAAUGGGAAAUCCCACCGGCUGGAUGGAUUAAAUAUAACAUGGAUGGUGAAGCUAAAGGAUGUUAUGGAUUUAGUUCAUAUGCCUACUGUCUAAGAGAUGAGAAUGGAGACAUUAUAUUUGCAGAAGGUGCCAGGAUUGAAAAUACAACAAGUACUAUGGCAAAAGCAGUAGCGAUUUUAGAAGCCAGCAAACAUUGCAAGAACUCUCAAUAUAAUCAGGUCAUUAUUCAAACUGAUUCUAUGUUACUGUGCGGAGUGCUAAAAGGAAAAUGGGUCACCUUAUGGGCACUUUCAGAUAUUGUGGAAGAAAUCAAAACAUGCUUACAAGAUAAACAAUAUACAUAUCAACACAUUUUGAGGGAGGGAAAUCAACUUGCUGACUACCUAGCAAACAAAGCAAUAGAACAGGGGACCUGCAGAUAUGAUGAUUUCAAAAGCCUUGAACCACAUGAAAGGAGAAUCUUAAACAGUGAUAAAAGUGAAAGCCCAUAUUUAAGGAUAUCUUCCUUAAGGAGAUAAUGGGAAAGGGGAGGCUACAACAUAAAGUUUAUUCACAAUAACAGAAUUUACAAAAGCCAUAGGGGCGACAAAAAAUGUGAAAUGCUAAAUAGACAUGGCUAUCUCAGCCAACAACAACAAAGACUCAGCAAUUUGGGGGUUACAAGGUUCAGGCGAGUGAACCUGGAGGAGACACUUAUUCCCAGUUGAAAGUGGCGGAAUGCAGCUUCCAAGACACCCAUGCGAGCACCAUUUGGAGAAAUGAAGUGAGCAAAGUUAGUAAAGCACAAGGCAACAAAGGAGUUCAAUGAAGUGAAAAUACAUAGUGAAUAAGUCAUCCCUAUCAAAUGGCUUCAACAGAUCACUAGUAGAACGCAGUUCAUUGUACCAGAGAACUUAGCUAUGAACAAAGAUAUCAGAAGCAAAAACAAAGGGGAAGGGAGUAUAGCUGAAAAGGACACACUUACUAUCGAUAGCUUAAAUCCAACUUUGCAAGAAUCCCACAACAUAAUAUUAAAUGAUCCACAACAACAGGAGACAGAAUCCUUUGAUCAUCCAAAGUGAAAACAUAGCAAAAAUGGAAAGGGUUGGAAGGAAAGAAGAGUGGAGGUGGAUUGUUUUAGGAAACCCGAUAUUUGAGGGAUGUGAUUUAAGGAUGGGAAUCUGAUGGGCUGGAUUCCUGUGCCUUUAUUUUGCUUUGGUUGUUUCAUUAGUGGAUUUGGGUAAUAGACCCAAAUUUGCUUUGUUUCUCAUGUAGUUACUUUCCUAUUUAAUAAAAGGCUUUGCCAUAUUUUGAUUAAAAUAAAAAAAUAGACCGUAGGUCUGACCACGGUCCGUGGUCCAGGGCUGUAGGUCGAACCCCAGAAUUUUAGUCCCAGUCGCCGAACGACGGCCGACCAGCACGACCAUCGGUCGAUCACGGUCUGUGGGUCUGGUCCGUCGAUGACCCCGACAACUUUUAAGUCGGGGGUCGUUUGGUCUUUUCCUUAUGCGUUGGACCCCUAAACUACGUCAUUUAAUCCCUAAACUAUGUGGUUUUGGUCAGUUUAAGCUUAGUAACUUAAUUAGAAUCUACCCUAAGAAAAUCAUUCACCUAAAUUUAGAAAACAUAGAACGCAAGAGGAGAAAGAAGUUGACCAAGCCCUAGUCCAAGAACACAACAGGUUUCCACCAAUUUCAACCCUAAAAUCGAAAGAUUUCUCCGUGGAAUUCAUUACCAUGUAUGUGGGAUUUCACUAGUGGGUUCCUUUCACCCAUUAGGUCCCUAGAAUUUAGUCAAAUUCUUGAUUCCCUUAAUAUUAUCUAGACGUAAGGUUUCUAGAAUUUUAGCAGAUCAUUACAAUUUAGUUACUUUAAUGUUCCUAAUCAGAUUAUCAUGAUUUUAGUAUAAAUUCCUUCAUAUAUUCAGAACCCUAGCUAUGUAGUUCUUUUAGUUCAUGAAUUACAAAUGCUAGGUCAGUUUAUUCGGUUAUACAUGCUCCAGUUAUAAAUAUUUCAUUAUCAGUACAUAAUGUUGCAUUUUCAGUUAGCAUGUCAGUAUUUGAGCUAUCCAGAAUUACUUCAUUUCAGUUAUAAAUUGCUAAACUACAUAAUCAGUUGGGAGUAAACUUAAUACUGAGUGGACUAGGGUCAGUCACCCGCAAAUCCCAAAAGUGCGUGCCCCAUAGGUUGUAAGUCUCCUUUGUGGGCAACAUUUUAGUGAUCACACCAGUCAUGCCUUUAUAUCUCUGGCAGGGUAUAUUGGGUCCUCUCGAUGGGGUGUAUACAUCGAAAUCCACAUUUAGCUCAUGUGGUUUUAUGUCGGUUAUUAAUAGCUUCCACAGUUCAGUCAGAUUCUAUUGCAUUGACCAUGUUAUCAGUACAGUCCAUAUUCAGUCUCAGCAUGUUAUAAACUUGGCCAUUGCAUUCAGUUAGCUUAUGUUCAGUAUUUUCAUUAUCCUUAUCAUGUUUAGAUUAUGUCAUUGCUUUAUUGCUUUGUUCAGUUAUGUUGUUAUUCAGCUUUACGCUAUCCUUCAUGCUCAAUACCUUUCAAGUACUAACACAUACUCUACGCUACAUCUUCUCAUGAUGUAGGUUCAGGUCCUCAUCUUCAAGAUCACGCAUAGAUCGGUUCCCGAUAUCCAGUUCAGGAGCAUCAGUGGUGAGUCCUCAUAUCCCGAGGAAAUCAGGCAUGUUCUUUUGAUUUUAGUCUUUCAUUUUAUUUUCAAUUUUGCUAGAUUUAGCUGGGGUAUGUCCCAGCACUUCUAGUCAGUUAGAGGCUUAUUUCAGACAUAGUUAAAUUCAGCUUUAGUAUUAGAGUUUUACUUUUCAGUUGUUGUUAAACUUUUUUUUUUCUUAUAUUCAGAUUUAGUAUAUGGGUAUUCCCUAUCACUUCAUAUUAUCUCAGUAUUAGUUUCCGCACAGUAUGUAUUCAUUCAAUUUACUUUAGUAUGCUUAUGAUAUGCCAGCAGGGUUAGCUUGGGGUCACUCGUGAUCCUAGGUCCCGUGUUCGUGUCCUGGGGGUAGCUUUGGGGCGUGACAACACACCACAACAAAAUGGUGUGGUGGAAAGGAAGCAUAGACACAUUCUUAACAUUGCUAGAGCUAUUGAUUUCAAUCUCAUUUACCUAUUAGCUUUUGGGGGUAUUGCAUCAAGGCUGCAGUGUAUUUAAUGAAUAGAUUACCUAACUUAAUUAUUGCUAACAAAAGUCCAUAUGAAUUACUUCACUCUAAACAGCCAAAUCUGUCUCAUCUAAGAGUCAUAUGUUGUAUUUUCUAUGCUUCAACACUAUCUAGAGGGGAUAAGUUCUCAGCAAGAGCUGCUCCUGCCAUCCUCUUAGGCUACUCAGACCUACAAAAGGGUUACAUAUUGUUGGACAUCAAUUCUACCAAACUGUAUGUGAAUAGAGAUAUGGUUUUCCAUGAAGAAACUUUUCCAUUUGCCAAAGUGAUGCCUCAGACUAAUCCCUCAGUUGGUUCCCCUUUGGAGACAAUAUAAAAUCUUGAUCCGGUGAAUGAGUCUACUAAUGAAGAUAGUGACGAACCUGAAGCUGUUGUCACAAGAAAUGAAAAUGCUCACGCAGUAGAUGUUGGUAUUGAGAUUACUCAAAAAGAAGAUGUCAAUGAGAAUUCUUCAGUAUGCCAAAUGCCUUAAAUUGAUCCAGUACUAGAUAUUUCUGAAGUUUUCCCUAGGGUACCAUCACAUAUUGACCCUCUAAUCAGAAGAACUUCAAGAAACAUCAAAGAACCAAUUUGGAUGAAAGACUAUGUUACUACUAAGAAACACAGUAGCACCAGACAUCCUAUGGCCAAUUCUCUAAAUUAUGACAAACUGAAGCCUUGUUACAUGGGUUAUUUGAGCAAGCUUUCAGAUUGUGUGGAACCUAAGUACUUCAGCCAAGCUGCCAAGGAUGAGAGGUGGAUACAAGCUAUGCAGCAGGAAAUCAAAGCUCUUGAGGAAAAUAAUAUUCGGAUAGUGGUUGAUUUACCAAAGGACAUGCAUACAAUUGGUUCCAAAUGGAUAUACAAAGUGAAAUAUAGGGCAAGUGGUGAGGUAGAAAGGUUUAAAGCCAGACUAGUAGCAAAGGGAUAUAGCCAACAAGAAGGACUAGAUUAUCAUGACACUUUUUCUCAUGUUGGCAAGAAGGUGACAGUGAGAUGUGUCAUUGCUCUAGUAGUAUCAAAAUGUUAGACAUUAUACCAAAUGGAUGUCUAUAAUGCAUUUCUUCAAGGUGAUUUAGAUGAAGAGGUCUACACGGAGAUGCCUGAGGGUUUCAAAAGACCAGGUGAGAACAAAGUAUACAGGUUACUCAAAUCAUUGUAUGAGCUUAAACAGGCCUCAAGACAAUGGAACUUAAAACUCACAAAAACAUUGCUAGCCACAUGUUUCACUCAAAGUGCUCAUGAUUACUCAUUAUUCACACUCAGAAAGGGGGAAGACCUAGUGAUUGUUUUGGUCUACGUAGAUGACUUAUUGAUUACAUGGAGUAACACAAAGUUGAUCACUGAAGUUAAGGAAAUCCUGCAUAGACAGUUCAAGCUGAAUGAUCUAGGUGAACUUUCAGAAGGAGUUAUUCUGAAUCAAAGGGAGUAUAUCUUAGAGCUUAUUGCUGAUGCAAGCCUAACUGGUGCUAAACCUGCACUCACACCAUUGGAGUCUAAUAUGAGAUUGACAUCAGUGGAACAUGAUCUAACAACUGGCUACACUGGAGAUGCUAUGCUCUAUGAUAUUACUUCAUACCAAAGGUUGGUUGGUUGGUAAGCUAUUAUAUGCCACAAUCACUAGACUAGAUAUAAGCUAUGCAGUGCAAACACUCAACUAGUUUAUGCAAUCUCCUAAGAAGUCACACAUGGAGGCUGCUACUAGAGUGGUUAAGUAUUUGAAGGGUACAGUUGGUCAGGGUAUUUGGCUGCAUUCUGAACCUACCAACAUACUCACAUGUUGGUGUGAUUCUGAAUGGGCUGCUUGUCCCAACAUAAGAAGAUCCAUCACAAGAUAUGUCAUCAAGUUUGGAAACUCUUUGGUAUCCUGGAAAUCCAAGAAACAACAGACUGUUUCAAGAAGCUCAGCUGAAGAUGAGUACAGAAACAUGGCCUCAGCAGUCUCAGAAAUCACUUGGGUUCUAGGCUUGUUCAAAGAGCUAGGAAUAUCUAUCCAGUUGCCUAUUACUGUUUCAGUGACAGUAAAUCAACCAUCCAACUGGCAGCUAACCCAGUAUUUUAUGAAAAGACAAAACAUAUCGAGAUAAAUUGUCACUUCAUCAGAGAUAAGAUCAAAGCAUGGGUGGUUGACACUGCCUAUGUACACACACAACAACAACUUGCAGACUUAUUGACAAAAAGGUUGAGUCAGGCCCAACAUGUAUACCUUUUAGGCAAGCUUGGUAUGCUUAAUGUCAUGCACCCUUCAGCUUGAGGGUGUGUGUUGAAAUAGCUGAAUAUUCAGAAGUUAGUUACUAAUCCAUUAGUUAGUUAGAAGGUCAUUUCGGUCAUUUCAGAAUGUUAGUUAGUGCUAGUUAGUUGCCUCGAUUACUGUGCUGAUAAAUCAGUUAGUAGAUUAGAUAUUUUCUUCUUCUUCUUCUUCUGGCUUUCUAUAUAAUCUGAGGAUGUAUCUCACUUGUAAAAUGAUUUAGAUUCAUAUCAAUAAAAUUCUCUCUAUGUUUCCUCACUCCAGUUUCUUCUCUAAGUUCAUCAAUGGUGUUAUGAGCUUGUAUACUCACAAUUUUUUUUAGUCAGGUACAGUAAAUCCACCAGUCACUUCCACCAAAUUCCUUACUAAUCCAAUGAAUUUCUCUUAAUCUUUAAACAAUUUCCCAAAUGUUGCUUUGCAUGUAUUUGAGCUCUGGUACCAUGAAAUUUGUUUUGUAAUGUUUAUUGGCUUGCCACGUGUUGAUGAUCGGAUGAAUUGCACAAGGCUCGAAGCCUCUUCUCUCCUGAUGGAACUAAACGACCGUAUGUUCUUGGCAGUGAAAAGUUCCAAGACACAUAUUUUGCGCACCUCUCUCAAGUAAUCUCCAUAAGGACGACGCAAUGUCCAUACUCUUGUAAAAUAUCAUGUCGGUGGUUACUAAUUUAUGCCUUGAUGCAAAAGCAAGGUCAUGCGUUUUCAGUACCUCUCGCGCCAUAUCCAUAGAAGAAACUACGAUCGUCGAAAUUUCGCUUAGUUGAAGAUGCAUGAAAGGUCCAUAUUUUUUUCCCAAGUUUGUGAGUGCAUGAUGAGGAAGUUCACCUUCUAUUGCCAAGUGAUGGACACUUCCUAAAAAAGGCAAUUUCCAUGGUCCUGGAGGAAGUUUCUUGUUAAAGUUUCUUGAUUUUUUCCAUUCCACAAAUAGUAAAUAAAGGAAUGAUAGGAAAAGGAUUAAGAAAAUGAAGUUGAACGGAAAUUGGAUCUCCAUUAGAGCAAAGGCUAAGAGAGGGGUGUCUCAAUUCUCAAGUUCAAAGCUUUAUUAGUAUAGGCUUUCUUUUGGCCUACUAUUUAAGACCACCUUGUAUAAUUGUACAGGUGAACAAAAAGAAUCAACAAAAUCGGCGCAUGUAUACAUAAUGUAUCGAUAUUGUAAAUAAUCUACAGUUGUGUAUAUAUGAUGUAUAACAAUAUAUCAUAGAUGUAUAUACAUCCAUAAAUGUUGUUUAUACAAUAUUCAUUUAUAGCUGAUAGCACUAGUUCAUUUUCCUUAACGAGCUGAUUUUUAGUAGGUUAAUUUUUCCUUAUAUAUAAAAUCAUCUAGCAAUAUGCAGUUUGUAGACGUCCCUUGCUCAUUAAAUUUUUAGAAUUUGUAUUUGAUAAUUUACUUUCUUUUCCAUUUCUAGAAAAACCAACAAAAUAGGAAAAGAGACAAUAAGAUGUUAAUUUUUUGUCUAUUAAAAGUGAAUUAGAAAUCAUGCCGUGGAGAUUAACUCAACUAGUUUUCUACGUUAUAUAUAUAUAUAUAUAUAUAUAUAUAUAUGUUGUUUUUAAUAAUUAAAAGAUAUUUUUUUUCAUGUUUUACCCAUAGCAUUAAAUACUAUUCUCCAAAUCAUUUUCAAGUAAUAUUAAACAUCAAUUAAUAGGGAUAAUGUGGUAAAAUAUCUAUAUCAAUAGUUGUUUUUUCUUAAUGGGUACUGUUUGCAACAACUUUUAACGUGACAUAAAAUAAAUUCCAAUCACAAAAAAAUAUGAAGAAACAUAAUUUUAUUCAUCAAGAUUGCAGGUACGAUUCUGUUGAUCAGUUGAUUCCUCUCUCAUAAGAUUUAUGCAUGAUUUGAGGGCCGUUAGUGACAUAUUUCUCGAACUCGAAUGAUUUAGAUUUGACCUCUAUAUGAAUAUUCCAUGACUUUUGUGGAAUAUAUCGAGAUAUUCAAGAUUCAAGGGAAUAUAGUACCCUUUAUAUAGACAUGAACUAGAGUUUAGGGUUGAGUAGCCUCCAAAAAUUCUAAUUGGAAUUGAACACACCUUGUAGAGUCCCAACUCAAAUUGAACAUGUCUUGUAGAGUUCUAUAAAAUUUAAAUGUCUACAGGUACGUCAAGUCUAACAAUGACCAGUAAAAAUGAAUGGAGGGGUAGAUGGUUUAGAUUAUUUGCCAAAACCAACCAUGUAACCAUAGUCAAACAUUAUCUUCCUUCUCUAUCCCCGGACUCCCAACCAGGGGCAGAGCUAUGUGGUCGUGAGGGUAAAAUGAUAUACAAAGUGAUUAAAUAACAUGUUUUAGACACCCUUAACACAAUAGACUGUUGUAGCCUAGUAGUUUCAGACGCUUCAAAUGAGCCAGUAUUCACAUGAAUCAAACUAGCAGUUAUGCAAUUUUUGGAGACCAAAUUAUUGCUCCAAACCCUCUCCUUUUCCUUUCUGAUCUAUGUGCACGAGUUCAAGAGGAGAAUAGAGUUGGAACACAAAAAAAUCAAAAGGAUUAUACUUCAAUUGAGAUUCAUCAAUGGUUAAAAAAAACUCAUAACUUUACAUUUCUCAGGUGACCAAAAUGUUAUCUUUUCCUUUAAUUUCUUUUAAAGUCAAAAACAGAGAAAAUACGAUGAGACAAUAUUUUUUGCUUGAUUUUGCAGAAGUUUACAACUUGUGUUGUUCUUCUUCUCUUUUCUAAUACUGAAUUAUUCAAGCCGAGGAAAGUGGGCUGUAAUGGAGGACUUGGACGGAUGGGCUACUGCAGGGGAGCCAAAUCCUAGGAGAGAACAUGGAUCCUUUGAGCGAGAUAUUGACAAAAAGAAGAAGAGAAUAAUUCGCGGUAAGGUUGAAAAGAUUCAUUUGUGCCAUUAACACAGAACUAGAUUUUGUCACGUGACAUUAUUUAAAUCUGUCAUUAUAUAUUUAUAUACAUACAAAGUUAAAACAAGAUGACACAAAUAUCAUUAAAUACAUAAAAUACCCCGACUCCUAUAUUAAAUAUCAUUCAUGAGAAGGAUAAUAAGGAGUGGCAAUCAAGUAGAGCUCACUCUUUCUUGCUGCAGUUAUUCCGGAAAAUUCAGUCAUGUCCACAUACUUAGGCUUCAAACCAUCAGGUAAUUUCCAAUCAAAAUGAUACAACAAUUUAGCUAGUGGAAGAUAAACAUUGAUCAAACCAAAUGUAAUCCCAGGACACAUUCUCCUUCCGGCACCAAAAGGAAGAUACUCAAAGUUAUUCCCCAUGAAAUCCACAGAGCUCUGUUCGAAUCUCUCAGGGAUAAAGAUUUCUGCAUCUUCCCAAUACUUCGGGUCCCUCCCCAUUGCAUAAACGUUAACCAUCACUCUUGUUUUUAAUGGGAUAGUGUAACCGUUGAUGUUUGUUUCUUCCCUACAUUUUCUGGGGAUUAAGAGAGGGACUGGAGGAUGAAGUCUUAAUGUUUCUUUAACAACUUGUUUUAGAUAUUUCAAUUCCUCAAUAACAUCUUCAUCGAAAGUUUCUUUUCCUUUGAAGGUUUCUCUUACCUCAGCUUGUGCCUUCGCUAAUACACUUGGUUUCCUCAUCAUUUCUGACAUAGCCCAUAUCGUUGUUGUUCCUGAAGUUUCUGAUCCCGCAGAGAACAAGUCCUACAUUUCAUUAUUAAUAAAAGAAGAAUUUACAUGAAUAGCUGGCGAAUGUAUAAUAUGUGUAUAAAUUUGAAGGAUUUUCCCUAUAAAAGUAAGAAUACUUACUACUCCCUCCGUCCCAUUUUAUGUGAGGUAGUUUGACUCGGCACGGAGUUUAAGAAAGAAAUGAAGACUUUUAAAACUUGUGGUCCAAAAUGAAUGAUAGAAAUUUGUGUGGCUGUAAAUCAUUUCAUUAAGGGUAAAAUAGACAUUUUAUAGUGAAAUUGUUACUUAAUAUGGAAAUGAGUCAUUCUUUUUGGGACUGACUAAAAAGGAAAGUAAGUCACAUAAAUUGGGACAAAGGGAGUAUUAUAAUUGCUUUGAUGUUGUCAUUGGUGAUUGGAAUUUUAAGUUCCCCACUCUCCUUUAAUCUUAGUAGAACAUCAACUAAAUUUUCACCUCCAAAUGCACCAUUUCCCUUUUUACCACUUGCAAUAUUCUUUUUAUGCUCAUUGAUAACAUCCUCAACAAUAACAUCAGCAUUUUUAUGAACUUUCAAGAUUUUACUCUUCAAUCCACUUAAUACUUGAAGGAUCUUGAUUGAAGGGAAAAUGUCAGCCAAACUAAAUCCACCUGCCACUUCCAUCAAUUCUCUUAGUAUUCCAAGGAAUUUCUCUUGAUCUUUCAACAAUUCCCCAAAUGCUGUUUUGCAGGUAAUUGAGCUCUGGUACCAUAAAAUCCGCUCUGUAACAUUUAUUGGCUCGUCACGUGUUGAUGACCGGAUGAAUUGCACAAGGUGUGAAGCCUCGUCCCGCCUAAUGGAACUAAAGGAUCGUACGUUCUUGGUAGUGAGAAGUUCCAAGACACAUACUUUGCACAUUUGUCUCCAGUAAUCUCCAUAAGGACUAAAUGCGAUGUCAGUGCUCUUGUAACAUAUUAUGUCGAGGGCUAAUAAUUUAGACCUCGAUGCAAAAGCGAGGUCAUGAGUUUUCAGUACCUCUCGCGCCAUAUCCAUAGAAGAAACUACGAUGGUAGAAAUUUCGCCUAGUUGAAGGUGCAUGAAAGGUCCAUGUUUUUUGCCCAAGUUUGUGAGUGCAUGAUGAGGAAGUCCACCUUCUAAUGGCAAGUGAUGGACACUUCCUAUAAAGGGCAAUUUCCAUGGGCCUGGAGGAAGCUUUUUGUUUAAGUUUCUUGAUUUUUUCCAAUCCACAAGUAGUAAAUAGAGGAAUGAUAGGAAAAGAAAUAAGAAAAUGAAAUUGAAUGGAAAUUGGAACUCCAUUAGCUAGAUAGCUAAAGUUAAGAGAGGGGUGUAUAGGCUUUAAUUCAUCUGGCCUAAUAUAUAAUCCUACUGUCAAAGAGAAAAUGAUUUGAGAGUAAGGGUGUGUUUGGUGUGAAAGGAAAACAUAAAAAAUGUUAUCCGGAAAGUAAGUGUAUUUUUUGCUUAUUUUUGGUGUUUGGUAAGUAAACAUAAAAUGUCUUUUUUUGCUUAUUUUCGGGAUUUGGUAACUACUGUUUUAUUCGAAAAAUAUAAAUAAAAGAAAAAUGACUAGUUUUCGAAAAAUCGAUUAAACUUAUGGUUUAAGAGAAAUCGAAUUUCCAAAAGAACAGAGUCACCACUUAAUUUUUAGUAAAAAUCAAGAAAAAACUCAUAAGAUUUUCAAAAACUUAAACAGAUAAAAUCAAUUGAAAAUAAAGGGUUCGAGUUCAAAUGUACAUUCCGAGAAGGUGUUAGGCCCUCGGAAUGCCUGCUAACUUGCGAUUGACCGGCGAUUUGACUAAAACGACUUUGACUAAUUUUGAAAGAAUAUUAGCUAAGUAAAGAAAUCCACUUUUUAUUUAUUUGUUUACAUUUUUUAUUUAUUAUUAUUAUCAUAUGAUUAUCUUAAAGGAAAUAGGAGGGGGGGGGGGUUUCCUAAAGGGAAAUAAGUUAAGUGUUGACAAGACUAAUAUUAAAAUAAGAACUAAGUAAUAAAAUAUAUACCUUAAUUUGAAAAAAAAAAAGACCAUUCUCGGGAAUUUAAUUAAAUUUAACCAUAAGAUAAUGAAAACGUUAGUCAAAUACAACAAAAUAAAUAAGAGCAAGGGAAGGAGUAUUGAACUUGGGUCUUUGGCCCAAAUUCCCCAAAUCUGUUGAAUCCGUCCUAUUCUAAAAAUUUCCAACAUGAUUUUGGGCCCUUUUGGCCUAUCUUUGUUACGAAAUCUACUCAUUUCAGUCUCCUUUGGACUGCUGUAGCGCUUGAGCUUUUUUAGCCCAUUUUCGCCCCUGUAUCACAGUGUAUAUGUUAAGAAAUCACCACCAACUUAAUUAAUCUCCAAGACAUUUCAAAGAAGAAUCUAGAAUAUUCAAGAGUUAUAAAGAAAUAAAGGAAGAGCUCUAGAAUGAGUAUUCUAGAAGUAUUCUAGAGAGAAAAGUCUAGAGUUGUUCUAGAUAAGAUAGUUCUAGAAAUAGGAAGUUAGAAGAACAUUCUAGAAUGUAGUAGCAAAACCCUUAGCUAGAUUCUUCCAUCACCACCUAUAAAUAGAGGUGGUCCAUUUGAGUUGUAACCAAGAAAGAAAGAAAUCAAGAAACCAAGCAAGGAAAAAAGUAAGAAAUAAGAGAGCAAACAAGAGUGAGUGCUCAAGUAAAGAGUGUUGCUGAAGCAAGCAACAAGUGUGAUCAAGAUUGUAAGACCGAAGCUGGUCCUUACUUUGAUAUAAUAAAAUUUAAGUUGUCAGAAAUCGAUAGUGCCCGUCGUCUCCAAACCAAUAAUAUUCAACAGUAUACACCAGGUAUAUCGGUGUAUACAGGUGUAUCUCGGCCUGCUUUCAGCUUUCCGAGACCUGUACGUCAAUUUUUGUAGCUGGCCGACUUGAAAAGAGGGGAAAUUGAGCCUUUAUGGCUCUCUCGAAAUGCAAGAAAAGAAAGAAAAGGGAGUUCAUGGCGAACUCGGGCCGAUUUACAUGCAACAAAGCAAAAGGAUAAGGAUUAGUGUUCCAAAAUAAAUCGCAAGUCAUGGCAGCCUUUAAAUCACUGUACAACAAAUAAUUUGAGGGAACUCAAAACGACAUAGGGAUGCAAAAAUCCAAAGACAUCAAGAAUAAAAGCAUAUUAAUGCCCCAAUAAUAACUACUUAAGCUACUGCUCAACGCCACAAAAUAUAAUCUAGGAUGAGCAAAUGAUAUUCAACCUACUUAAUAAACAAAUAUGCUAAUGGCUGACACUGGCAAACAAUGCCGAAUAUUCGUAUAAAAGUCAUGUCAUAUGAAACACCAUAUUUGGUCACUUGAAACAGGACCCCUAUUCUAACUGACCAUACUACAAUAGGAAAAAUAUCAUCACUUUGUGAAACACAAGGCUCAAUUUUAGCUCUAGAAACAAAGAUUCACAAAAGUAUAUAAAAAAUAAAUAAAUAAGAAAACUCUUAAGAAGAUUAUUAUAUUUCAUCAUAAAGGGACGGAUAGCAUAAGAGCUCCAGAUUAGUCAAAUAUGAGAUUCUGCCCUUCAUUUUUUUUUAAUUUUGUCAAAAGGAAGUAACAUUACAACAGCAAGAGAAGGAAAACUAUAUGCUAGAAGACGGUGAACACCAAAACAUGAGUAAUCAAUGACAUUCAAGCAAGUAAAUACGAUAUAAAGGAUGGCGAAAUAGCCUCAAAAUAAACACCAAGAAACAGUGAAGCCAUACGUGAGACGAACAUCAGUAUCACGGACAUGCUAGCGAUUUUCAUUGGAACGGAAGAAAGGUCUUUUUUACAUACUAGUUGACUCAAGAUUCUCGUGAAUAACACCACUUAGUAAUAACAACCUAAAUGAUAGCACACCUUAUGCUUAAGGACAGUAUAGGCGAAAUAAUGUGAACUUAAUAGCAUUCUAAUAAUGAAUUCGAGAAAAAGAACACCAAAAUGCGCUCAAACACUGAAUACAAAUUAGUAGCAACUCAAUACAAUGUUAUGACUAACCCAUGGAAUAGAUACCUUAUGUCAAAACAACACCAAUGACAACGACAAUUAAUCAGCGAACAACCAACAGAAUAGUGACUUCCCAGCAUUAACAAACAAAAUAGAGAAAGAGAUGAAGAGAGAAGCCAUCGAAGGAAACGUUACCUUUUCUGGGCGGCGAACAGGGACCAAGCAAGCUGAACAGAGCUUCCCACAACCACAGCCAGAUUCCAAGAACUCAGGCGAAAUUCGAUGAGGCGAGAAAGGAGAAACAUAACUCUUUCUCUUUUUAAGCUAUGAUUCUCCCUAUAUCGGACUUUUGCCACAACUCUUUCUAUUUUUUUCUCUCAACUUUCUAACUCUAUUUUUUAAAACCUCUUAAGACUUUAAAAAAAAACCCCUCUUAAGACUAAAUGCAAAGAGAGCUUUUAUACAAGGAAAUUAGGGUAGAAAAAAAGGUGGAAAAUCCGAAUGGAAUUUUGCCAUUCGAAAUUUGAAAUCAAAAUCCUUUCAUCCUUUUGUACAAACAUCUUUUUCUGAGGCUUUCAACCCAUUCCGGAAGAGGAAAGGGAAGAAAAACGUGUGCCCGCCUUUCUGCUGGGGUCGUACAAAUGCAGAGAGACGCGGCUAAGGCUGUACCAGGCAGAAAAGGAAGAAGGAAACGUGGGCGUGAACUCGCUGUGUAUUUUCCGUCUAUUCACGUGAGCUGCUGGGUUCGGGUCGACUCGCUGGAGCUGGGUUUCGCUUACUGGACUGCUCGUUUUUCUGGGUUUCUGGUUUUGCACGCGAGGAAGAAGGCACUGUUGGGUUCUUUUUGGUAUUUUUGUUGGCAGGGAUUCAAAAAGGGAAAAUUAGCAAUUAAGUUAUAAUAUCUAACAUAAUUAGUCAAAAUAACAACACUUUAAAAUAUUUAUUUGAAAUGGCAGAAUGACAAUAUUUUUACAAAUAAUAUGUAUUCAGAUUUUAGUAUUUUAAAUUAAUUUUAUUUAUGGAAAGAGUCCUAUAUUGGACCAAAUUAUAUACCAAUAUCCGUUUAAAGUGAAAUAAAAAAUUAAACCAAUACCAUUAACCUUUUUUCAUCACCAUUCACGUUUCUUCCCCACCUUUCACGUUUCAAGUUUAUUUUUCUUCAAGGUGCUAAAUUGUUGUUCAUCAAUAAAUUUUCUUUAUUGUUAAACGAAAUCUCUUUAUUAAUUCAAGCAAAUUUCUCGGUUGGCAAGGUAAUUUCCAUUAUCCAUUUCGAUUAGUUAUUUUGAUUUCUUUUUAUUUGUUUUUAAUAUCACCGUUUAUGGUUUAUAUUUCGCAUUGUACAUAUUACGGAUUUUCCGUCAAUUUUUUUUAUUUUUAUUAGCAAGUUUGUUUACAUAAUAUUCAUCUAAUAUUUAUGUAUUUCAAUUUAGUUAUUUAGAUUUCUUUUUAUUUGUUUUCAAUAUCACCGUUUAUGAUUUAUAUUUCGCAUUGUACAUAUUACGGAUUUUCCGUCAAUUUUUUUUAUUUUUAUUAGCAAGUUUGUUUACAUAUUCAUGUAAAAUUUAUGUAUUUUUAGUCUAUUAAACAAUUUUUUUUCAAUUUUUUUCUGAUUUCGUUUUAAUAUUUUAGAUUUAUUAGAAUCUACAAAUUCAUUCAUAUGUUUAUUUUGUUUGAUUUUUAAUACAUUUAUAUUUGCUUUUAGAGUUUUAGAUUUGGGGAAAGCAUCUGUCUGUCUAUAAUGUCUGAAUCAACAGUUUAUUUAUGUAUUCAUUCUAUCUAUAUAUCAACAAGUUUUACAUUUUUUGUUUUAACAAUGUAUUUCAAUCUCAAUUAGUAUACCAACAUGUUUGUAUUUCCUUCUUAAUUUGUAUUCAUCCUAACUGUAUGCUAACAAUUAUGUAUUUUAUUGGGUAUUCAUUCUGUAUUUCAAUCUCAAUUUAUAUGUGAACAAGUUUGUAUUUUCUCUUUUAUGUUGUAUUCAACCUAAUUGUAUACCAACAAGUUUUGUAUUUUAUGUGCCUACUUUACCUUUCAAAGUCACUUUGUAUUUCAAACAAAGAGAGUAUUUAAUUUCUUUUGUAAUCACAACUUUAUAUUCAAUCACUUUGUAUUUAUAGUAUAUAAUUAGUAUAUUUUAUAAAUAUUCAAAAAUCGUCUCAAAAAGAUUUGGUUUAUUUGAAUACUUGGUUAAUUAGUUCAAUUAUUCAAUAGUUUAUAUUUUUGAGUUAAUUAAUUCAUAAUUAAGUUGAUUAUUUUAUUUCGUUAAAAUUAAGAAGCUCAUUAAUUAAUUUACAUUAAUUCGUCUUAUUUGAAUUUCGGCCAAUUUCAACCAAGUGCCUCAAUUUGAUCGAAAUUACAAUUUUACGUGGUUAUUUUCUUAAUUCAAAUCGACCACAUUCUUGGUUAUCCUUUUGGACCCAAUUCUUUCAACCCAAAUUCCUUUACCUCCAAUUCCCAAUUCUUAACAGCAACCCAACUCAAUUUCCCAAGCCCAACUCCAAUAGAAACCCAUCAGAAAGCAACUCAAUUAUUGUAUGCAUUCAAACACGGGUUGAUAAUUUUAAAACCGAUUAAGUUGGUUUGGUUUUGGUUUUGACCAAUAACCGAUCCAAACCAACCUGUGUUUGAAUGCAUACAAUAAUUGAGUUGCUUUCUGAUGGGUUUCUAUUGGAGUUGGGCUUGGGAAAUUGAGUUGGGUUGCUGUUAAGAAUUGGGAAUUGGAGGUAAAGGAAUUUGGGUUGAAAGAAUUGGGUCCAAAAGGAUAACCAAGAAUGUGGUCGAUUUGAAUUAAGAAAAUAACCACGUAAAAUUGUAAUUUCGAUCAAAUUGAGGCACUUGGUUGAAAUUGGCCGAAAUUCAAAUAAGACGAAUUAAUGUAAAUUAAUUAAUGAGCUUCUUAAUUUUAACGAAAUAAAAUAAUCAACUUAAUUAUGAAUUAAUUAACUCAAAAAUAUAAACUAUUGAAUAAUUGAACUAAUUAACCAAGUAUUCAAAUAAACCAAAUCUUUUUGAGACGAUUUUUGAAUAUUUAUAAAAUAUACUAAUUAUAUACAUAAUUAUCUAAAGCAUACAUAUUAUUUAAAAAUUAUAAAAAGUGACAAAACUAUUUAAAAUAACUUGAAAAAUAUUUUGAAUUUUAUAAAGUCAAUUAUUUCGAAUCAUUUGGAAUUUAAAGAAGCUUGAAAAUUAAUAUAUAUUGGGAGGUCCAAAAUUGGGUGUCAACAACUACAAAAAAAAAAAAGUGUUCUGAAACUUUUUUGAUCAACCAAACAUGAUUGUUUUUGGAAAAAACUCCACACAAAACACACACUAAAUAUAAUACUAAUCUUAUACCUGCAAAUCAUUAUCUCGUAUAAUAUAAUACUAAAUGAAAGUUGAAUUCGAGAUAGAUACAAUGUAUAAACUUAUAAUAUUUGCUUAUCAACGUUUGGUGAAAGCAAUAAACCUGUUUUUAAUUGUAUUGUAUUCAAUUAUCACCUAAUUGAUAUCAAUACAAUAGCGAAAACAUCUUUAAUUAAUUUAAUGUCAACCACAUGAUGUAUUAACAACCAUUAAAUUAGAGCCGGCAAUGUGGAAAAUUUUAUGCGAAUCAAUAUUGAUUAUUGAGUAUCGACCUAUCCUAUCGUCACAAUUCGUUUCGUAAUUAAAUGAGUCUUGAUCACCAGCGGAAGGUUAAUCAUUAAUUUUUUAAACUUUCAUGGUUAGCUUAUUUUUUCAACAAUAAAGACCAUUGAGUUCUUGUAAUUAUUGGGAGAUCAAUAUUCCAUAAAUAGUACUUUUGCCAUUAAUUCUUUAUGAAACUAUUUUUUUAAUAAUCUCAAGAAGUUUUUUUAAGGGAUAAAUUACUAAAAUUAUAUUUUUAUUUAUGAUUUCUUAAUAUACGUGUAAAAAGAAAAAUGAUUCACUAAUAUGAAACGGAGGAUUAACUAAUAUGACUUUUCACCGGAUAACUAUUGGUUUUCUUUGUUUACAUGUUUCUCCAUCCGCAGAAAUGAUCCAAGUGAACCGUUAAGAAAUUCAUUAAUCACUGUUAAAUUGAUAAUGAAUUAUAUUAUCUCAUUCAUUAUAUUCUUCUUAAUAAUCAGCUUUUAUAAAUCAAACAAUAUGUAUAACUCCACCAUUGAAAGAAAUAGUAGAGGAACACUCCAAAUUUAAAAGGUAAACGUUUAUGUUUACUUUACUUUACUCUGUUACUUCAUAUAAUUAUUCAUGUUUGCAUCUAUUAUAUUUUUUAGCUCCAAAUUAGAGUUAAUCAUACAUUAUUUUUAGUAAUAUUAUUUAGCAUAUAAAUAUAUUAUAUGUUUACAUCUAUUAUCACAUCAAAAUGCAAACUUGCAGUUUCACAUGAUAUAUAUAAUGUAUUUAUCGUCCAACAAAGAAAUAAUUCAAUAGAAUGUGUGUUCAUCAAUUUUAGCUUGUAAUUUUAAACAAGUUUUGUUAUUGAAUACAUUACACCUUUAAUAUAAUUUAUAUUAUAUAUACUACUUACACAUUGACAUAUUUACAAUGCACGUCUCUAAAAACUGAUAUUAUUAAAUACAUAAAAUACCCUGACUGUUGUAUCAACUAUCAUUCUUGAGAAGGAUAAUAAGGAGUGGCAAUCAAGUAGAGUUCACUCUUUCUUGAUGCAUUUAUUCCAUCACAUUCAGUCAUGUCCAAAUUCUCAGGCUUCAAACCAUCAGGUAAUUUCCAAUCAAAAUGAUACAACAGUUUAGCUAGUGGAAGAUAAACAUUGAUCAAACCAAAUGUAAUUGCAGGACACAUUCUCCUUCCGGCACCAAAAGGAAGAUACUCAAAGUUAUUCCCCAUAAAAUCCACAGAGCUCUGCUCAAAUCUCUCAGGGAUAAAACUUUCCGCAUCUUCCCAGUAUUGGGGGUCCCUCAUAAUCGCCGAAACAUUAACCAACACUCUUGUUUUUAAUGGAAUAGUGUAACCAUUGAUGUUUGUUUCUUCCCUGCAUUCUCUAGGGACUAAGAGAGGGGCCGGAGGAUGAAGUCUCAAAGAUUCUUUAACAACUUGUUUUAGGUAUUUCAAGUCCUCAAUAAUAUCUUCAUUGAAAGUUUCUUUUCCUUUGAAUGCUUCUCUUACCUCAACUUGUGCCUUUGCUAGUACACUUGGGUUUCUCAUCAUUUCUGUCAUGGUCCAUAUUGUUGUUGUUGUUGAAGUUUCUGUUCCCGCAGCGAACAAGUCCUAUAUUUCAUUAUUAAUUAAAGAACCAAUAAAUUCACUUAUUUUCCUAAAUAAUACUGAACACACCCUUAGAUAUUUUUUUUAAGGGAAAAGACUUAAAUAUGUCAUCGAACUUUGAGAAAAAACUCAUCUAUGACAUCCGUUAAAAGUUUGACUCAUCUAUAUCAUUUUUGUUAGAGAAAAAUCUCAUCUAUGCCUUUAUUUAUUAACUGAAAACAGUUUUGGUUUUGCAAACCCAUUUUUUUUUACAUGUGGUCAAUUAUGAUCCGGUCACUUGAUUAAUUAAAUAAUUUUUAAAAAGGGAUUAGGUUCAAAUAUCCCAUCAAUCUUACAGAAAGGCUCAUCUAUGUGUUUGAGUCAUAUAUACUAUUCCAGUUAACAAAUAAUGACUUGGAUGAGUCUUUUUUCAAAAGAAAAUGACAAAGAUGAGUCAAAUUUUUAACGAAUUGCAUAGAUGAGUCUUUUUUCUCAAAAUUCGAUGGUAUAUUUGAGUCUCUAAUUAUAAGAGAAAGAAUACUUACAAUCAUAAUUGCUUUAAUGUUGUCAUUGGUGAUUGGGGUUUUAAGUUCUCCACUCUCCCUUAAUCUUAGUAGAACAUCAACUAAAUCUUCACCACCUUAAUCUUAGUAGAACAUCAACUAAUUAAUCUUCACCUCCAAAUGCACCAUUUCCUUUUUUACCACUUGCAAUAUUCAUUUUGUGCUCAUUGAUUACAUCCUCAACUAUAACAUCAACAUUCUUGUGAACUUUCAAGAUUCUACUCUUCAAUCCACUUAGCACAUGAAUGAUCUUGAUUGAAGGGAAAAUGUCAGCCAUACUAAAUCCACCAGCCAAUUUCACCAAUUCCUUCACUAAUCCAAUGAAUUUCUCUUGAUCUUUCAACAAUUCCCCAAAUGCUGCUUUGCAUGUAAUUGAGCUCUGGUACCAUGAAAUCUGUUCGGUAAUAUUUAUUGGCACGCCACGUGUUGAUGACCGGAUGAAUUGCAUGAGGCUCGAAGCCUCGUCUCGCCUGAUGGAACUAAAGGACCGUACGUUCUUGGCAGUGAAAAGUUCCAAGACACAUAUUUUACGUAUCUGUCUCCAGUAAUCUCCAUAAGGACUAAACGCGAUAUCUGUGCUCUUGUAAAAUAUAAUGUCGAUGGAUACUAAUUUAGGCCUUGAUGCAAAAGCGAGGUCAUGAGUUUUCAGUACCUCUCGCGCCAUA